GCAACCCUACGGGGGGCAGCAGUGGGGAAUAUUGCACAAUGGGGGGAACCCUGAUGCAGCGACGCCGCGUGAGUGAAGAAGUAUUUCGGUAUGUAAAGCUCUAUCAGCAGGGAAGAAGAUGACGGUACCUGACUAAGAAGCCCCGGCUAACUACGUGCCAGCAGCCGCGGUAAUACGUAGGGGGCAAGCGUUAUCCGGAUUUACUGGGUGUAAAGGGAGCGUAGACGGCAGGGCAAGUCUGGAGUGAAAUGCCGCAGCUUAACUGCGGAACUGCUUUGGAAACUGGCGAACUAGAGUGCGGGAGG
rnacentral:rRNA from 1 species